rnacentral:rRNA from 1 species
AUUGAACGCUGGCGGCAUGCUUUACACAUGCAAGUCGAACGGUAACAGGCCGCAAGGUGCUGACGAGUGGCGAACGGGUGAGUAAUGCAUCGGAACGUGCCCAGUCGUGGGGGAUAACUACUCGAAAGAGUAGCUAAUACCGCAUACGAUCUAUGGAUGAAAGCGGGGGACCGUAAGGCCUCGCGCGAUUGGGGCGGCCGAUGUCAGAUUAGGUAGUUGGUGGGGUAAAGGCUCACCAAGCCAACGAUCUGUAGCUGGUCUGAGAGGACGACCAGCCACACUGGGACUGAGACACGGCCCAGACUCCUACGGGAGGCAGCAGUGGGGAAUUUUGGACAAUGGGCGCAAGCCUGAUCCAGCAAUGCCGCGUGCAGGAAGGAGGCCUUCGGGUUGUAAACUGCUUUUGUACGGAACGAAACGGCUCUGGUUAAUACCCGGGGCUAAUGACGGUACCGUAAGAAUAAGCACCGGCUAACUACGUG